AGGUAUAAGCCAAUCUCUAGCCUGUAGUCACGGUAGAUCACAUGAUGCUUUCAUUGAAUCCAUUAAUGCUAGAUGUCCUUUCACAGCCUACCCCUGUUCUGAUUAUGAUACAUUUGAGGCUGGAAAAUGUCUUGAUUGUGGUAGUACUGGAUGUUCUGUACUAGGUUACUAUUCAGAUCAGUAUUAUGCCAGAGGGAAAAUGUAUCUAGAUACAACAUCAAAAUCUCCACUUUGUGGAUAUCAUUAUGCUGUUACAAUCAAAGGGGCUGAUUUAACUCAAGACACUAAAGGAAAGAUUUCACUCAGGUUGAAGGGCAAAUGGGGCGACAGUGGAUUUGUUGCAGCGAC